rnacentral:lncRNA from 1 species
UACAUGUGCAAAUUUGUUACACAGAUAAACUUGUGUUAUAGGAGUUUAUUGUGCAAAUUAUUUCAUCACCCAGAUAUUAAGCCUAGUACCCAUUAGUUAUUUUUCCUGAUCCUCUUCUUCCUCCUACCCUUCAUCCUCCAAUAGGCCCCUGUGUAUGGUCUUUUUAAUAUAAUGACUUGUUUUUUGUUGGGUAGAUACCAAGUAGUGGGAUUGCUGGAUCGAAUGGUAGAGCUACUUUUAGUUCUUUGAGAAAUCUCCAUACUAUUUUCCAUAGAGGUUGUACUAAUUCACAUUCCCACCAGCAGUGUAAAAGUGUUCCCUUAUCACUGCAUCCUUACCAACAUCUAUUGUUUUUUGACUUUUUAAUAAUGGCCAUUCUGGCUGGGGUAAGAUGGUAUCUCACUGUGGUUUUAAUUUGCAUCUCCCUGAUGAUUAGUGAUGUUGAACAUUUUUUGAUAUACCUGUGGGACAUUUGUGUAUCUUCUUUUGAGAAGUGUCUGUUUAUGUCACUUGCCCACUUUUUAAUGGGAUUAUUUGCUUUUUCUUGCUGAUUUGAGUUCCUUGUGGAUUCUGGAUAUUAGUCCUUUGUUGGAUAUAUAGUUUGCAAAUAUUUUCUCCCAUUCUGUAGGUUGUUUAUUCUGUCCACUCUCUUUGACUCACUCCAACCACCUCUGGGCAACUUCUCCAUUACCAUUGAUGCAAAAUCUAAUGUUCAACUGUCAGUCCUAACAUUACUUGAAAUAGUUGAUCACUCCGACUUUGAAACACUUUUUCAGUUGGCUUCCAGGACCUCACGCUGUCCUGGUUUCUUUUGACCACAUUGGUUCCUUUCUUUGUCUCUUUUAUUAAUCCCUCUUCUUUUCCCCAACUUCUCCAACAUUAGAAUUUCCCAAGGGCUUGGUCUUGGUCCACCUAUUUUCUCUCACUCUCCUUGCUCCUAUCUAAUCUCAUGGCUUCAAAUAUAACCCAUGUGCUGCUGUCUGCCUAAUUUACUUCUUCAGCAAGUCCUCUCUCCUGAACUCCAGAUUCAUACAUCCAACUGCCUACUUGACAUGGCUUAGCUGUGUUAUAGACAUCUUAAACUACUUUUCCUGUUCCAAACUGAAUCUUCAGAUGUUCAUCCCCAUAACUUAUCUUCUGUUAGUCUUCUACAUCUCAGGAAAUGACAACUUCACUCACCCAGUUGCUCAGACCAAAAACCUUGGCAUCAUCCUUGACUCCUCUCUCUCACACACUCCACAUCUAGUACCAAAUUUACUGUGAAGCUAAUGAAGCUUAAGCAUCAGAGCCGCUCACUUGCAGGAGCCCCUUACGAGACACAAGGCUCCUUACGGUGGGGUAACACAGUCAUGUGCUUUUGUAAAAUUUGCAAAAGUAAAAUAUUUUAAUUACAAUCAGUUAAGACAGCUGUCUCUUCACUCUGACUUCCCCUGUAUCACUCUUCCUUCAUGGCGGGAUUGGCAUUGGGGUGGCUGUGAACAUUGUUGGGAUCAUGCAGAGGGGAAAUUGAAUUGGGUUUACAUUUAUUUUUGAUUUGAUCAGAUAUAUUUCCAUGGCUGGCAGUCACCUCUAUACCACUGUUAACCAUCUCAGCAUAGGAGUGGCUUCCAGAAAUACUCUCACCUCAAUUACCUUACUAUGCUGGCUAGUGGUGCAGGGCCAAAGAUCAUAUCUCAAAUACUACCGCCUCCUAUAGCACCCAGCAUUGGGAAUAUGUGUAGCUGAGGAGAAAUAGAUUUGGAAUGUACAGAGCCAGAAACUAGUCUGUGGAAAAUUAUUCACUGGACAUGUAAAACUAUAUAUGGAGAAGUCAGUUCCGCCUAGUCGGAAUGGGAGUUUUCUUCUGUCACUAAUAUACUCAAUAAUGCAACAUG